CAGUCGCCACGGUAAUACGAAGGGGGCUAGCGUUGUUCGGAUUUACUGGGCGUAAAGGGCGCGUAGGCGGACUGAUAAGUCAGGGGUGAAAUCCCAAGGCUCAACCUUGGAACUGCCUUUGAUACUGUUUGUCUUGAGUUCGAGAGAGGUAAGUGGAACUGCGAGUGUAGAGGUGAAAUUCGUAGAUAUUCGCAAGAACACCAGUGGCGAAGGCGGCUUACUGGCUCGAUACUGACGCUGAGGUGCGAAAGCGUGGGGAACAAGCAGGAUUAGAUACCCCCGUAGUCCCUGUCUCUUAUAA
rnacentral:rRNA from 1 species